rnacentral:ncRNA from 1 species
UAAAAGUUUGAUUUUAGCUUUUAUAUUUAUUUUAUAAUUAUUUUGCAUGUAAAUUUUUGUGAGAAAUUUAUUUAUUUUAAAUAAAUAUUUAAAUAUAUAUAUAUAUUAUAUAAAUAUUAUAUAAAUUAAUUGCAGCAUUUGAUUUUAAUAAUUUAAGAAAUUUAGAAUUAUUAAUUAUUUUAUACAUGGGCUAAAAUUGUGCCAGCAGCUGCGGUUAAACAAUUUAUGUAGUUAAAUAUUAUUAAUUUAUAAUUUUGUUUUAUUAAUAAAUUUAUUUGUUUUUUAAUCAGGUGAAAUUUUUAAUUAUUAUUAUUAUUUUUAAUUUUUAUUUAAAUUAUGAAAUCUAAAUAAUAAACUAGGAUUAGAUACCCUAUUAUUUUAGAAUUAAAAUUUUUAUUUUAAGGAUUAAUAGUUAUGAUCUUUAAACUUAAAAAAAUUGGCGGUGUUUAAAUCUAAUUAGGGGAAUUUGUUUUUUGAAUGAUAAUCCUCAAGGUACCUUACUUUAUUUUUUAAUUUGUUUAUUGUCGUUAUAAAAAUAUUUUAUAAGAAUAUUAAUUUUUAAUAAUUAAAAUAAUAAUUUAUUUCAGAUCAUAGUGCAGUAAUAAUAAAGUUAAAAUGAAUUACAAUAAAUUUUAUUUAAAUGGAUAUGAAAUUGAAAUAUUUUAUUGAAGGUGGACUUAAUAGUAAAAUUUAAAAUUUUGUAAAUUUGAAUUUAGAAUUAAGCAUGUACAUAUUGCCCGUCACUUUCAUUUUUAAAAUGAGAUAAGUCGUAACAAAGUAAGUGUAUUGGAAAAUGUACUUAGAAUGU